rnacentral:rRNA from 1 species
GAUGAACGCUAGCGGCAGGCUUAAUACAUGCAAGUCGUGGGGCAGCGCAGGUAGCAAUACUGGGCGGCGACCGGCAAACGGGUGCGGAACACGUACACAACCUUCCGAGAAGUGGGGAAUAGCCCAGAGAAAUUUGGAUUAAUACCCCGUAACAUAACGAUGUGGCAUCACAUUGUUAUUAUAGCUUCGGCGCUUCUUGAUGGGUGUGCGGCUGAUUAGAUAGUUGGCGGGGUAACGGCCCACCAAGUCUACGAUCAGUAGCUGAUGUGAGAGCAUGAUCAGCCACACGGGCACUGAGACACGGGCCCGACUCCUACGGGAGGCAGCAGUAAGGAAUAUUGGUCAAUGGACGCAAGUCUGAACCAGCCAUGCCGCGUGAAGGAUUAAGGUCCUCUGGAUUGUAAACUUCUUUUAUACAAGAGAAAACCCUGGUACGUGUACCAGGUUGAUAGUAUUGUAAGAAUAAGCAAUCGGCUAAACUUCGUGCCAGCAGCCGACGG